AGUGAACGCUGGCGGUAGGCCUAACACAUGCAAGUCGAACGGCAGCACAGUAAGAGCUUGCUCUUACGGGUGGCGAGUGGCGGACGGGUGAGGAAUACAUCGGAAUCUACUUUUUCGUGGGGGAUAACGUAGGGAAACUUACGCUAAUACCGCAUACGACCUACGGGUGAAAGCCGGGGAUCUUCGGACCUUGCGCGAUUGAAUGAGCCGAUGUCGGAUUAGCUAGUUGGCGGGGUAAAGGCCAACAAAGGCGACGAUCCGUAGCUGGUCUGAGUGGAUGAUCAGCCACACGGGAACUGAGACACGGUCCAGACUCCAACGGGAGGCAGCAGUGGGGAAUAUUGGACAAUGGGCGCAAGCCUGAUCCAGCCAUACCGCGUGGGUGAAGAAGGCCUUCGGGUUGUAAAGCCCUUUUGUUGGGAAAGAAAAGCAGCAGGUUAAUACCCCGCUGUUCUGACGGUACCCAAAGAAUAAGCACCGGCUAACUUCGUG
rnacentral:rRNA from 1 species